rnacentral:lncRNA from 1 species
CCCGGCCCGGCCCCCAGGUCCCGCGGCCGGGCGUCCGGGUGCUCGCGGGCCCGUCGCCAGCGGCGCAGCCCCCGGUUCCCGCGGCCCACGGUCCAGCCCCGCUGGGGGCCGUGGGCCCCCGUGUCCUUGGAGCAGCCUUUGCUGUCGCGGCCCCCUGGGUCCCCGGGUCCUGGAUCCGCAGGGUUGGGCCCCCAGGGGCUGAGGCGUGAGCCGGGCUGGGGCGCGUGGUGUUCGCAGCCGCUGUGGGCUCACCGUCAGAGCCUCGGCGAGCUCCGAAACGAGGCCGACAGCCCGGGGCGCCCCUUGGUUACUGUGGGAAGCCUCCGUCGGGGUCAGAAACCGCAGAUCGCGUGGGUCAAAUCUUCUAACGUCUGUGUACCGUUAAAUAGCAUGCUUAACAACUCGAGGGUCUGCUGUCUGCUGAAGCACAGCCUUAGGUUUAUGACGAUGAAGACUACAGGAGAGUUCGAUUUGUGGGUCGUCAGAAAGAGGUGAACGAGAACUUCGCCAUUGAUCUGAUAGCGGAGCAGCCC